rnacentral:tmRNA from 1 species
GGGGCUGAAAGGAUUUCUACAUUUUAAUAUUUUAAUUAUGUUGUAUUUAACUAAUUACAUUUAUUAAUUUUUUGUAUAUUUAAUAAGUUUACUUGUUAAUGAUAUUAAAAAUGAAAAAUUAUUAAUAAUUAUAGUUUAAUUGCAAAACACAAUAUUAUAUCUUUUUCUAAAAGUUUAGUAAUAACAUAAAUUUUUAGAAUCUUAAAUUGUAUUUUCUUGAUUCAAUUUAUUUUUUUAUUCACAGAAUGCUCUCAUUGCAAAUAAUAAUUUCAAUUUUAGUUGUUUUUGUAAUUAGUAAAGUAUGAGGUAUUUUAAUUUAAAAGCUUAGUAAAAAUUUUUUAGUUAAAUAAUCUAUACUUAAUUUUUAUAUUAAUAUGGACGUGGGUUCAAAUCCCACCAGUUCCAC